AACGUAGCGAAAUGCGAUACUUGGUGUGAAUUGCAGAAUCCCGUGAACCAUCGAGUUUUUGAACGCAAGUUGCGCCCAAAGCCUUCGGGCCGAGGGCACGUCUGCCUGGGUGUCAUGUACCGUUGCCCCAUCCAACUCCCUCU
rnacentral:rRNA from 1 species